GUUUUAAUAAUUUAAAUAAAAAUAUUGGUCUUGUAAACCAAAAUUAAGAAACCAAUACUUUUAAAACA
rnacentral:tRNA from 1 species